rnacentral:rRNA from 1 species
AUUGAACGCUGGCGGCAGGCUUAACACAUGCAAGUCGAGCGAGCGGCGGACGGGUGAGUAAUGUCUGGGAAACUGCAUGAUGGAGGGGGAUAACUACUGGAAACGGUGGCUAAUACCGCAUACCAUCAGAUGUGCCCAGAUGGGAUUAGCUAGUAGGGGGGGUAAUGGCUCACCUAGGCGACGAUCCCUAGCUGGUCUGAGAGGAUGACCAGCCAAACUGGGACUGAGCCACGGGCCAGACUCCUACGGGAGGCAGCAGGGGGGAAGAGUGCACAAUGGGCGCAAGCCUGAUGCAGCCAUGCCGCGUGUGUGAAGAAGGCCUUCGGGUUGUAAAGCACUUUCAGCGAGGAGGCGGUACUCGCAGAAGAAGCACCGGCUAACUCCGUGCCAGCAGCCGCGGUAAUUC